AUCCAACUGAUGAGUCUCAAAACAGAACGAAACGGGUGUCCUGGAU
rnacentral:hammerhead_ribozyme from 1 species